UGGGGAAUAUUGGACAAUGGGCGAAAGCCUGAUCCAGCCAUGCCGCGUGUGUGAAGAAGGUCUUCGGAUUGUAAAGCACUUUAAGUUGGGAGGAAGGGCAUUAACCUAAUACGUUAGUGUUUUGACGUUACCGACAGAAUAAGCACCGGCUAACUCUGUGCAAGCAGCCGCGGAAAUACAGAGGGUGCAAGCGUUAAUCGGAAUUACUGGGCGUAAAGCGCGCGUAGGUGGUUUGUUAAGUUGGAUGUGAAAUCCCCGGGCUCAACCUGGGAACUGCAUUCAAAACUGACUGACUAGAGUAUGGUAGAGGGUGGUGGAAUUUCCUGUGUAGCGGUGAAAUGCGUAGAUAUAGGAAGGAACACCAGUGGCGAAGGCGACCACCUGGACUAAUACUGACACUGAGGUGCGAAAGCGUGGGGAGCAAACA
rnacentral:rRNA from 1 species